ACCUCAUCCAGAGGGGCUGAGGGAUACGGCCCGAAGACGCCCCGGCAACCACCGCCGUCGACUCAUCGCUGAGUCGCGGUGCGCAGGUGCCAAUUCCGUCCCCGUCGCACGGUGCGGCGUGGGGAAGAUGAGAG
rnacentral:ncRNA from 2 species